GAUGAACGCUGGCGGCGUGCUUAAUACAUGCAAGUCGAGCGAACAGACGCGGAGUUUGCUGCUCUGACGUUAGCGGCGGACGGGUGAGUCACACGUGGAUAACCCACCUAUCAGACUGGGAUAACUUCGGGAAACCGGAGCUAAUACCGGAUGAUAUAUUGAACCGCAUGGUUCAAUAGUGAAAUACGGUUUUGCUGUCACUUCUCGCUGGCUCCGCGCUGCUUUAGCUAGUGGGUACGGUCACGGCUUACCACGGCAAGUAUGCGUAGCCGACCUGGGAGGGGGAUCGCCGACACGGGAGGUGGAACACCGUCCAGGCGCCUACGGGAGGCCGCAGUAGCGAAUGUGCGGCAACGGGCGAAAGCUUGACGGAGCGGCGCAACGUGAGUGAAGAAGGUCCUCGGAUCGGAAAACUGUCUUAUGAGUGAAAAACAAAUUUGUAAGGAACUAAGCACGUCGUGACGGUACCUAAUCAAGAAGCACCGGCUAACUACGUG
rnacentral:rRNA from 1 species